UUGGGUGGAAGCUAUAUCGGCUCCCUUGAUUUGAUCUUGCCCUCUAAUGCCGGUUGCUCUCCCUACCCCCUGAGUCAAGGGGACUUCUGUUUGGGCCAAUCAAUUGAGUCCAGACUCUAUCGAAGUACCUAUCGGGCAGAGGGAGGGUGCACCCUCAUUUUUUACAGAUGCGACCCUCGAGGAUUGGAAGAUCACUCACUGCAUAAUUGAGGGGAUUUUCAUCAAUGCUAAUCUAGACAAGAUUGAGGAGCUAAGCAUUGGGAGAUGAUAGGGGGAGGUUGUGACCUCCUUCGUUUAGGUGAAUCCAUUUUCUUCUCUUUUGUUUUAACUCCUUUCUUCUCUUUUUUCAUCCUUGGUGGUUGACUCUUCCCUUUCUUGGAUAUAGC
rnacentral:lncRNA from 1 species